AGCUUCCACCCAUCUAUUUACCAUAGCUUCCACCCAUUCUGCCAAUGCUUCUCUGAAACCCAGUAUUGGUACAGACAUUGCUCAGUCCUAACAGGGAUCGCAAGCUUCCACCAGGAAAGGCAAAAGGGAAGAUACACAUGUAUGGAGCUCCUACUGUAUACCUCACCUUGGGCUAAACAAUUCUCAUAUGUCAUCUCACAUAAGCCUUUCAGCAGUGCAUCCCCCUCUCCCCAUCAAGAGGUGAUGAGCACAUCCAGGAGAAGGACUAGACCAUAACCUGUCCCUUUUCCCAGUGUCAACCCAGGAC
rnacentral:lncRNA from 1 species